rnacentral:rRNA from 1 species
UUAAGAAUCUUGCACAAUGGGGGCAACCCUGAUGCAGCGACGCCGCGUGAAUGAUGAAGGCCUUCGGGUUGUAAAGUUCAGUAAGCAGGGAAGAAUAAGCAAGAGGUAAUAUUUCUUGUGAUGACGGUACCUGCCUAAAGCCCCGGCUAACUACGUGCCAGCAGCCGCGGUAAUACGUAUGGGGCAAGCGUUGUUCGGAAUUAUUGGGCGUAAAGGGCGUCUAGGCGGGGGAUUAAGUUAGAUGUGAAAGCUAUGGGCUCAACCCAUAAACUGCAUCUAAGACUGGUUCUCGUGAGUCCGGGAGAGUAGAGCGGAAUUCCAGGUGUAGCGGUGAAAUGCGUAGAUAUCUGGAAGAACACCAGUGGCGAAGGCGGCUCUCUGGCCUAGGACUGACGCUGAAGCGCGAAAGCGUGGGGAGCGAACA